AGCUCGGCUUCAGGAGUACUUUUCAAAAUAUCAUGUAUUUUGCUAACUCUAUAUAACUCCAUGUGUCAUUUCAUCCAGAAAACUUGUUUCUAAUGCUUUUUUCUCUGGACUCUAAGCUGGUUGAUGCCACCAGGCCUUGGGAAAAAGCCUGCCUUCUGAUAGGAUUGCUAUUGAGUAGCAAAAAUUCUUGGAUUCUGAUAACAUCUUUCAUGCAGAAACUCAAAGCAUCUCCCAAAUUAUAAGCCCAUUCUUUUACACUGUUCUACACUCUCACACUCUAGGAACAACUCAUUUCAAUCUUGGGACAUUGACCAGAAUUCAGGGAAACUAGCAUGAUCCUUCCAGUCUGACGUUUCAUUCCAUCUACUGUCCAAAGCUGUGUCUACAAGGCAUCACCUAUGAGACAAUAAAACAAACCCUCUGAAAUCAGGAAAUUUGCCAGAAGAUGGCGAGCUGGGAAGAAAUAAAACCAGGAUUUGAGCCAGGU
rnacentral:lncRNA from 10 species